GCUCCCCCUAAAAAUGUAAACAAAUAUCCAGUAGUGGAUUUUCUGUUGUCAAUGUCACCUGCCAUAUCAGCAUCUGUAUAGCCCUUCAAGAUUGAAUCAGAUCCUCCAAAGCAAAAACAAUCUCCCAUGGUGCCUCUCAGGUACCUGAGUAUCCACUUGACUGCUUCCCAAUGUUUAUUUCCAGGAUUUUCAAGAAACGUGCUGACAACACCAACUGCAUGAGCAAUAUCAGGUCUAGUACAUACCAUUGCAUACAUCAAGCUUCCGACUGCUGAAGAAUAAGGAACUCUAGCCAUGUUCCCCUUGAAAAUAUAAACAAAUAUCCAGUAGUGGAUUUUCUGUUGUCAAUGUCGCCUGUCAUAUCAGCAUUUGUAUAGCCCUUUAAGAUUGGAUCAUAUCCUCCAAAGCACAAACAAUCUCCUAUGAUACCUCUCACGUACCUGGGUAUCCACUUGACUGCUUCCCAAUGUUCCUUUCCAGGAUUUUCAAGAAACCUGCUGAUAACACCAACUGCUUGAGCAAUAUCAGGUCUAGUACAUACAAUUACGUAUAUCAAGCUUCCGACUGCUGAAGAAUAAGAAACUCUAGCCAUGUUCCCUUUCUCCUCAUCUGUUGUAGGACACAUCUUUUUGCUCAAGUUUAGAUGACUAGCAAGAGGUGUGCUGACUGGCUUAGCAUUUUACAUGCUAAGCUAAAAAUUGUUCGAAUAGAAGUCAUUUUUGACAACAGGUGAGAAAAUUUCACCAAAAUCAAUACCUUUCUUCUGUUAGAAGCCUUUAACCACCAAUCGAGCUUUGUAUCUGACCAG
rnacentral:lncRNA from 1 species